rnacentral:tRNA from 2 species
UGCAGUGUAACUUAACGGCAAAGUCCUCGGCUCAUAACCGAGUAUAUGCGGGUUCAACUCCCGCCACUGCUACCA